UACGGAGGGGGCUAGCGUUGUUCGGAAUCAUUGGGCGUAAAGCGUCCGCAGGUGGCUAUGUAAGUCUGCUGUUAAAGAGUGAGGCUCAACCUCAUAAGAGCAGUGGAAACUACAUGGCUAGAGUGCGUUCGGGGCAGAGGGAAUUCCUGGUGUAGCGGUGAAAUGCGUAGAGAUCAGGAAGAACACCGGUGGCGAAAGCGCUCUGCUAGGCCGCAACUGACACUCAUGGACGAAAGCUAGGGGAGCGAAUGGG
rnacentral:rRNA from 1 species